CAAAAAUAUAUGCAGUGGAUACAUCAGCCAAAACAUAACUGUAUCUUACAACCUUUUCUUGUUUUUGUGUUUUAUUUUUAUUUUUUUCUGUGUAAAUGUAAAACAGAGCCCAAGAAAAUCAAGAGAAGUUAAUUCUGAGAGAGAAAGAAUGUGAUAAAAUAAUAAAAAUAGAGGGGGGUAUUCUGUGGCUUUGGAUUGUUCUGGCAAAGCGUGCCUGCCAGCUUCACUCGGACUAGGGUGGGGGUCUGGCUAAGAAAGAAAUGUCUUGCUCUUGAAAAUUCGAAGAAAAAUAUAAACUAGGGGUAGCAGCAGUCAGCAAGUCAUUAAAGCCAAGGCCCUUGUCUUGGUUUGCCGGUGAGGUUUGACAAGGAAAGUUUGAGAAGCUGAUGAUGGAGGUUUGGAGAAGGGGUCAUCUGGUUGUGACAGUGAUAAUCUGCAUUCUGGGAUGCAUCAACAGUGAAACAGAUCCAAAUGAUGCUUCUGCUUUAAGAGUCAUGUAUACCAGCUUAGGUUCACCAGAACAGCUAAGUCAAUGGAACUCAAAUGGUGGUGAUCCAUGCGUAGAGUCCUGGAAAGGUGUUACUUGCUCAGGCUCACGAGUCACGGAAAUUAAAUUAUCUGGUCUUCAACUUUCUGGAUCAUUGGGUUACCAGCUCUCGAGUUUGACAGCAUUAACGAACCUAGACUUGAGUAAUAAUAAUCUUGCAGGUGGUAUACCUUAUGGACUUCCUCAAAACCUGACACAGUUAAAUCUUGCCAAUAAUCAUUUUACAGGAGACAUCCCUUAUUACUUUUCUCAGCUGACUAAACUUACAUAUUUGAACAUUGCUCAUAAUCAGCUUCAGACUCAGUUGUAUGACAUGUUUGGAAAGCUCUCUUCCCUCUCCACACUGGAUAUCUCUUUCAACCAACUGCCAGGUAACUUACCUGAGAGUUUUAGCAACCUUUCAAGUAUUAACGAAAUGUAUUUGCAAAACAACCAGUUCACAGGCACUAUUGAUGUCCUUGCCAAUCUUCCUCUUAAAAAUCUGAAUGUUGCAAAUAAUCAUUUUACUGGAUGGGUCCCUGAACAGUUGAAGGACAUUUAUUUACAGAUGGAGGGUAACAAUUGGAACUCAGGGCCUGCACCCCCACCUCCGCCCGGUACACCUCCAGCCCACAGAAACCCAGGUCAUAAAUCUGGUGGCAAUAACAGUCCAUCUGAUAGUGGCAGCAAAAAAAUCAGGAAUAGGAGGUGGUGGCAUAGCUGGAAUAAUCAUAUCCAUCUUUGUUGUUGGGGGGGUAUUAGCGUUCUUCUUUGUGAAGAAAAGAUCCAAGAGGUCAUCGGCAGAUAUAGAAAAGCUUGAUAAUCAGCCAUUUGCACCUCUUUCUUCAAAUGAAGUUCAAGAAGUAAAGUCAAUACAAACUCCCUCCACAGCCAAUGCAAAGACAUUUGAUAUCUCAGCCUCCAUUAAUAUUAGACCCCCACCUAUUGAUCGCCAUAAAUCAUUUGAUGAUGAUGAUUUUUCAAAGAAGCCUAUUGUUGUCAAGAAACCUGUUAAAGCUCCUACAAAUGUGACGUCAUACUCCAUAGCAGAUCUGCAGAUAGCUACUGGCAGCUUCAGUAUUGACAAUCUUCUGGGCGAGGGUUCUUUUGGCCGUGUUUAUCGAGCUCAUUUUGAUGAUGGGAAGGUUCUUGCUGUGAAGAAAAUAGAUUCAUCCACCCUUACCAAUGACAUGACUGAUGAUUUUAUAGAGAUGGUUUCAAAAAUCUCCGAGUUACAUCACCCAAAUGUGACAGAGCUUGUGGGUUAUUGUUCAGAGCAUGGGCAGCACCUGCUAGUCUAUGAGUUCCAUAAAAAUGGGUCACUAAAUGACUUCCUGCGUCUUUCAGAUGAAUACAGCAAGCCUUUGAUAUGGAAUUCCCGUGUCAAGAUAGCUUUGGGGACUGCUCGUGCAUUAGAGUAAGUUAACAAAAAGCAUAGCUAAAAUAAACCUGGUUUCUCAGUUUUCCCCCUUCUAAAAAUCAAGCUGCAUUUGGAAAGAUUAAUACUCUGUCCCCUCCGCUCUCUUUCCCUGUUAUUUUUCGUUUGUUGAGGGUAAAAUGUAGGGAUACUAAAGAUUGAAUUAUCUACUUGAAUGAUGGCAGCACUCUACUACUAUUAUUAGAAACAAAAAUGAUGUGAAAUGAAGUACCACUCCAGAUGCAGCACAGGUUGCUUAGCUGCACCAGUAGUUGUUAAAAGAGCUUUGAUGUUGGAAUCUAGAAGCCCCAUUAUAUGACAUUCAACUACUUGUUUUUUGACAUAGGGUUAAACUUUGCAAUCCAGAUCUUACAAAUCAUGGUUAUUCUUUUUAUGAUUUUCAUGAAUGGCCUUCCUGGUACUCAAGAAAGGAUUUUUCAGGUACAUGCAUGAAGUAUGUUCACCAUCUAUUAUUCAUAAAAAUAUCAAGUCAGCAAACAUCCUGCUGGACACUGAGCUCAAUCCUCACCUUUCAGACUCUGGCCUAGCCAGCUUUCUUCCAAAUGCAGAUCAGGUAAUAUUAAGCGUCAUUCUGACAAUGGCUAUUUACUUUUUAAUGUGAAAAAUUAGGAUAACUAUCCGAGUAAAACCUUAUAAAUUAAGUUCACGUGGCACACCAGGAUACUGUGUUUUUCUGUAUGGAAGGUGGAUUUAAUGGCUGAUCCUCUUGCACAUUGUUUUAGUUUUGGUAUCAGAACGGAUUAUCAGUCUUGUAGUAUAUGCUGUACUUUUUAAGUUUCUUUCCACACAUGCAGGCAUUGAACCAUGAAGCAGGAUCUGGAUAUGGCGCACCUGAGGUAGCCAUGUCUGGCCAAUAUACUCUCAAGAGUGAUGUUUACAGUUUUGGAGUUGUCAUGUUAGAGCUUCUUACCGGACGUAAACCAUUUGACAGCUCAAGGCCAAGAUCCGAGCAAUCUUUGGUUCGAUGGGCCACACCUCAGCUCCAUGACAUUGAUGCACUAUCUAAAAUGGUUGAUCCUGCUCUCAAAGGGCUCUAUCCUGUCAAAUCUCUCUCCCGGUUUGCUGAUGUUAUUGCCCUGUGUGUCCAGGUAAUGUAUGCUAUGUAUUUAUUUUUCAGGUUGGUUCCAAACACCUAUUGCAGAAAUUAUGCCAAGUGGUUGCCAACCAUCCAAAUUUUGAAUUUCCUUGAACCAAUUCAGAAUAGGGAUUAAUGGCGUAUUGACUCAUUCAUAACUAUGUAUUUUCUUAAUUAUAUAUGACUAUUUUGAUGCUUAUUUUCACUGUGUUGUGGCAGCCCGAGCCAGAGUUUCGACCACCUAUGUCAGAAGUUGUUCAGGCAUUGGUUCGUCUCGUUCAACGAGCUAAUAUGAGCAAGAGAACGGUUGGAAAUGAUCAGGGAACACCUCGGCAAGCAGACAACCCAGAAGCACCUGACUACAUGUCUUAGAUGGCAGUGAUACCUACGGUUACUUGUUCCAAUGUUACAUACAGGCUACAGUACAUCAAUGGUCUUCAUUUUAUUUGCUUUCAAGUUUUUUGAACAUAGAUGUUUAGUUUAAUUUUCUCGUAUGGAGCACAUGGUAGAAUUAGGAACUCGAUAAAGCUUGUUAAAAAUAUCUGUUGAGCAUGUUUCCUUGCUGUUGCACUGCCUUAUGACUUGAGAUUCUGUUGGAAGUACAUGGAACAUCAAACAUUGUAAAUGGAUGUAAACAUGGAAUAAAAGCUUUGACGGUUGGAUCUUCUCCAUAAGGUACAA
rnacentral:misc_RNA from 1 species